AAGAUGUCGGAUGAAAAAUUAGGUCAGUAUCUGUAUUGUCUGUUAAAGUGUUUCUAUAUCAUUUUCUUUACAAAUCAUAUGUUGAUACGAUGUAAAUUUAUAAAAGAUUCACACGGAAAUCACUAAUGACUACCGAGAAAUGUGCAUGAAACAGAAAUUUCGAUUUGAAAAAAUCGCCAAGAUGACCGUAAAUCACAAUCGAGAUGACCGUAACA
rnacentral:lncRNA from 1 species